AGAAAACAAAACCAAAGCCCUGUGUUUGGGACCCCAGUGAGUGUAGUCUUUAUUGAAAGAAGGGGCGCUGAGACUAAGCUGUUGUACACCCCUUGUGCUCAUGUGCCAGACAUCAUCAAUCAAUCCCUGUAUCUUUUCCUGAUGAGCCCUUAUAAAUAAGUACCUCAAAACUGUUCAAAACAGAAGCCCCACAGUCACGGCCGAUAGGUCAGAGCUGACAUGUCCUUAUUGGCUUGACCCGGAGCUGGUUUAGGGAGUGGAAGUGGUUACAGAAGAGCCAAGUAGGGAACCCAUCCGAGGCACGGUGGACAGAGUUCACUGGUGAGAUGAACACACGCAGUCUGUUUGGGCCAGGCCGGGCACAGCUCUGCGGGUA
rnacentral:lncRNA from 1 species